CUUUGAUGCCAAAGUCCUCUCCUGUCAGCCAGCCUGUUCACUCUUUAACACUGGCCAAAUAUUUGGUUAUUUAAAUUAUUUUUCAGGUUGCUGUUAAAAUUCUGUGAACGUCUGAACUUCAAUAUGAAACUGUUUAAAAGCCAGAUGAUUAUCCAGAAAGAUGAUUGUCUCCAUUUGCAGUCAGAGUGCGAUGUUAAUUACAAACCUCCUCAUGGGAACAAGCACCUUUUGUCAGAGGUCCUACCCAGGACAUUGUAACCCUGGGCUCUCAAUCCUCUGCCCAUCCCAGCACGAGACAACCAGGGCCCAAAUAUUCUUAAAACCUCAUGUAGCCAAAUACUCUGGAUGGGCACAAUUCUCCAGCUUUCUGUUGAGUUUUGGACCAGCAGAAGAAAUCCAAGAAAAAAUAUUGGCUGAGAAUGGUCAGAGGACUCAACUUCUACAUGGUGAAACAACAGGAGCAUUUCAUUCUGCAAGGACUUUUUAAAAUUCGUAUUUAAGUUUGCCUGCCUAAGUACAGUGAGAGACCAGUGACCUUUUCUUUCCUGUCAGCACUGUUAACAGCAAGCUCCCUUCCAACAUUAUAGCAUCUAAAUACUGUGCUGCCUCACUUCAAGUAAAGCAUGAGCUUAAAUAUAUUACUGUGCUGAGAUUCAAAUGAUGGGUUAUUUUAGCAUUGCUGUUCCUGAGCCAAGUUAUUUGUGAGUCAAUAAUUUCCAUGGAACUGUACAAGGCAUAGAAGAAAAUCCAUGAUAUGAAAUGUUUAUAAAAAACACACAAGCAAACUAAGAAAAGAAACUAAAAAAGUUAUUAUCCCUGUCACUCAUAGAUGACAAAUUCUCUUGAAUGUAGACUAAAGCUUAGCAAAGUUAAUUGAAAUUUUCUAUGAGUUUUGUAAAUUCUUCGCUUUUAGAACUCAGUUCUGUGGUGUUAUCCAUGGUAUCACAGUGUACUACUUUUGGUCAAUUUCUGGAACCAAGCAGCUUUCUGAAGUUCUUUGUGUCUAUUUGAAGUAUUUAUUUCUUUUUCAGUCUUUAUUUUCUAGUAAGAGUGUAGGCCAUGGGCACCAUUUUCUUGAUAUAAUGCUGAAGACAAAAAUGUCUCAUGUCCC
rnacentral:lncRNA from 1 species